rnacentral:lncRNA from 1 species
CUUUGAACUUUAAACACAAGAAUUCAUAAUUCUUUAUGCUGAAUUAUCUUGGUAUCAGAGCAAUUCUCAUCUAUUUCAACCUCUUCGACCACUUGGUAGAUAUAUUGUGUAUUUAUUGAAUUGAUAUUGGCAUCAUCUUCAACAAAAUCAGUCUCAGGUAAACCAUCUAACUUUUUUUUUCUUACCAAGCUUUGAACUUUGAGCAAUUUCUUGACUUACAUGGGAUCUUGUCGAAUUAUCUCUAAACAAAUCUCUUGGGAUGUAAAUUGUAAAAACUCGUUAUGGUGGUUCAAUUGAGCAAUACAAAAGUUAUUAAUUAUUUGUAAAUGUAAAUAAGUUUUGAAUGAACAUUGAGAUAAUGAUCAGUACUCGCAGCAGCGAUAACUUGUUCUGGUUUAAGUAAUUUUGUGUUCAUAAAUGGUAUCGAUAAGUGCUGAUCUUGUGGGUGUAAGGCAUGGCUGCUUGAAUCCGGUCUUUUCUUUUCUGAAGAAACCUCUGUAGAGAUUUCUUUAAGGAGAUGCCUCGACGAUGCAGCUGAAAUUGCAUAUACGGUACUGGUGCCACACUACUAGUUCUUGAAUUGUUUAAUUUUUCUUCCAUUUCCAUUCUUGCAAGCCAAAGGAUGGCUAUGGCCUGCAGCAGCAUUACAUAAAACGCAAUCGAAUCGUCAAUCCAUGAAAAAAUUUAUUCAUCUGGGAAUUUUUCUAAGUUCUUUCCCAUUAAUUAAUCAGUUUUUGAAACGUUUCCAGUUGGUUUGGGAGAUGGAAGCUAAUGCCACU